UACGUAGGGGGCGAGCGUUGUCCGGAUUUAUUGGGCGUAAAGAGCUCGUAGGCGGUUCAGUAAGUCGGGUGUGAAAACUCUGGGCUUAACCCAGAGCCGCCACCCGAUACUGCUGUGACUAGAGUCCGGUAGGGGAGUGGGGAAUUCCUAGUGUAGCGGUGAAAUGCGCAGAUAUUAGGAGGAACACCGGUGGCGAAGGCGCCACUCUGGGCCGGAACUGACGCUGAGGAGCGAAAGCGUGGGUAGCAAACAGG
rnacentral:rRNA from 1 species